UACAGAGGUGGCAAGCGUUGUUCGGAAUUACUGGGCGUAAGGGCGCGUAGGCGGCCUACUAAGUCAGACGUGAAAUCCCCAGGCUUAACUUGGGAACUGCGUCUGAUACUGGGAGGCUUGAGUGCGGGAGAGGGAUGUGGAAUUCCAGGUGUAGCGGUGAAAUGCGCAGAUAUCGGGAAGAACACCCGUGGCGAAGGCGGCCG
rnacentral:rRNA from 1 species